rnacentral:rRNA from 1 species
UGAGGAAUAUUGCGCAAUGGGCGAAAGCCUGACGCAGCGACGCCGCGUGGAGGAUGAAGGUUUUAGGAUUGUAAACUCCUGUUAAGUGGGAAGAGAUCUUAACUUUUAAUAGAAGUUAAGUCUGACGGUACCGCUAAAGAAAGCACCGGCUAACUUCGUGCCAGCAGCCGCGGUAAUACGAGGGGUGCAAGCGUUAUUCGGAAUAACUGGGCGUAAAGGGUGUGUAGACGGUGUAUUAAGCUCGUUGUUAAAUUCUCCAGCCUAACUGGAGGUAUGCGAUGGGAACUGAUACGCUAGAGGGUGGAAGAGAGAAGUGGAAUUCCUGGAGUAGCGGUAAAAUGCGUAGAUCUCAGGAGGAACACCAAUGGCGAAGGCAGCUUCUUAGUCCAUUCCUGACGUUGAGACACGAAAGCGUGGGGAGCAAACAGG